ensembl:snRNA U6 U6 spliceosomal RNA
GUGGUCACUUUGGCAGCACAUAUACUCAAAUUGGAACAAUACAGGUAAGAUUAGCAUGGCCUCUGUGCAAAGAUGACAUGCAAACUCAUGAAGCAUUCCAUAUUUUA